AUUGAACGCUGGCGGAAUGCUUUACACAUGCAAGUCGAACGGCAGCACGGACUUCGGUCUGGUGGCGAGUGGCGAACGGGUGAGUAAUGUAUCGGAACGUGCCCAGUCGUGGGGGAUAACGUAGUGAAAAUUACGCUAAUACCUCAUACGAUCUAUGGAUGAAAGCGGGGGAUCGCAAGACCUCGCGCGAUUGGAGCGGCCGAAAUCAGAUUAGGUAGUUGGCGGGGGAAAGGCCCACCAAGCCAACGAUCUGUAGCUGGUCUGAGAGGACGACCAGCCACACUGGAACUGAGACACGGUCCAGACUCCUACGGGAGGCAGCAGUGGGGAAUUUUAGACAAUAGGCGAAAGCCUGAUCCAGCCAUUCCGCGUGCAGGAUGAAGGCCCUCGGGUUGUAAACUGCUUUUGUACAGAACGAAAAGGUUUCUACUAAUACUAGGAGCUCAUGACGGUACUGUAAGAAUAAGCACCGGCUAACUACGUGCCAGCCGCCGCCGUAA
rnacentral:rRNA from 1 species